rnacentral:rRNA from 1 species
CAAUAGCGUAUAUUAAAGUUGUUGCAGUUAAAAAGCUCGUAGUUGGAUUUGUGGUGUACUUCGGCGGCCCGUCACUAUGUGAUGGAGCUUGCUGAAGUCGCCAUCCUUGGGUGGAUCCUGUGUGGCAUUAAGUUGUCGUGCAGGGGAUGCCCAUCGUUUACUGUGAAAAAAUUAGAGUGUUCAAAGCAGGCUUAUGCCGUUGAAUAUAUUAGCAUGGAAUAAUAAGAUAGGACCUUGGUACUAUUUUGUUGGUUUGCGCACCAAGGUAAUGAUUAAUAGGGACAGUUGGGGGUAUUCGUAUUUCAUUGUCAGAGGUGAAAUUCUCGGAUUUUUGAAAGACGAACUACUGCGAAAGCAUUUACCAAGGAUGUUUUCAUUAA